GACAACGAUACAAGAAUCCGUAUCGAAACGUCGCAUCAUCCGAAUAAAGAAGUUGUUCAUCAAUAGAGUUUGUCCUUAUCUGGUUCACCGACUUCUCAACAU